CNUGCAGCCGAGCGGUAGAGAUUCUUCGGAAUCUUGAGAGCGGCGUACGGGUGCGGAACACGUGUGCAACCUGCCUUUAUCAGGGGGAUAGCCUUUCGAAAGGAAGAUUAAUACCCCAUAAUAUAUUGAAUGGCAUCAUUUNAUAUUGAAAACUCCGGUGGAUAGAGAUGGGCACGCGCAAGAUUAGAUAGUUGGUGAGGUAACGGCUCACCAAGUCUACGAUCUUUAGGGGGCCUGAGAGGGUGAUCCCCCACACUGGUACUGAGACACGGACCAGACUCCUACGGGAGGCAGCAGUGAGGAAUAUUGGACAAUGGGUGCGAGCCUGAUCCAGCCAUCCCGCGUGAAGGACGACGGCCCUAUGGGUUGUAAACUUCUUUUGUAUAGGGAUAAACCUNAGAUACGUGUAUCUAGCUGAAGGUACUAUACGAAUAAGCACCGGCUAACUCCGUGCCAGCAGCCGCGGUAAUACGGAGGGUGCAAGCGUUAUCCGGAUUUAUUGGGUUUAAAGGGUCCGUAGGCGGAUUUGUAAGUCAGUGGUGAAAUCUCACAGCUUAACUGUGAAACUGCCAUUGAUACUGCAAGUCUUGAGUGUUGUUGAAGUAGCUGGAAUAAGUAGUGUAGCGGUGAAAUGCAUAGAUAUUACUUAGAACACCAAUUGCGAAGGCAGGUUACUAAGCAACAACUGACGCUGAUGGACGAAAGCGUGGGGAGCGAACAGGAUUAGAUACCCUGGUAGUCCACGCCGUAAACGAUGCUAACUCGUUUUUGGAGCGCAAGCUUCAGAGACUAAGCGAAAGUGAUAAGUUAGCCACCUGGGGAGUACGAACGCAAGUUUGAAACUCAAAGGAAUUGACGGGGGCCCGCACAAGCGGUGGAUUAUGUGGUUUAAUUCGAUGAUACGCGAGGAACCUUACCAAGGCUUAAAUGGGAAAUGACAGGUUUAGAAAUAGACUUUUCUUCGGACAUUUUUCAAGGUGCUGCAUGGUUGUCGUCAGCUCGUGCCGUGAGGUGUUAGGUUAAGUCCUGCAACGAGCGCAACCCCUGUCACUAGUUGCCAUCAUUAAGUUGGGGACUCUAGUGAGACUGCCUACGCAAGUAGAGAGGAAGGUGGGGAUGACGUCAAAUCAUCACGGCCCUUACGCCUUGGGCCACACACGUAAUACAAUGGCCGGUACAGAGGGCAGCUACACUGCGAAGUGAUGCAAAUCUCGAAAGCCGGUCUCAGUUCGGAUUGGAGUCUGCAACUCGACUCUAUGAAGCUGGAAUCGCUAGUAAUCGCGCAUCAGCCAUGGCGCGGUGAAUACGUUCCCGGGCCUUGUACACACCGCCCGUCAAGCCAUGGAAGUCUGGGGUACCUGAAGUCGGUGACCGUAACAGGAGCUGCCUAGG
rnacentral:rRNA from 1 species